rnacentral:rRNA from 1 species
UACAGAGGGUGCGAGCGUUGUUCGGAAUUACUGGGCGUAAAGCGCACGUAGGCGGGUUGUUAAGUCAGGGGUGAAAUCCUGGAGCUCAACUCCAGAACUGCCUUUGAUACUGGCAACCUAGAGACUGGAAGAGGUUAGUGGAAUUCCCAGUGUAGAGGUGAAAUUCGUAGAUAUUGGGAAGAACACCAGUGGCGAAGGCGGCUAACUGGUCCAGCACUGACGCUGAGGUGCGAAAGCGUGGGGAGCAAACAGG